UAGCCUAGUGGUUAAGGCUUUGGAUCGCCAGUCCGGAAACGGCGGGUUCGAUUCCCGU
rnacentral:tRNA from 1 species